rnacentral:rRNA from 1 species
UACGGGGGGAGCAAGCGUUGUUCGGAUUUACUGGGCGUAAAGGGCGCGUAGGCGGCCACCGCAAGUCGACUGUGAAAUCUCUGGGCUUAACCCAGAACGGUCAGCCGAUACUGCGGGGCUAGAGUGCAGAAGGGGCAACUGGAAUUCCCAGUGUAGCGGUGAAAUGCGUAGAUAUUGGGAGGAACACCAGUGGCGAAGGCGGCUCACUGGACCGGUACUGACGCUGAGGCGCGAAAGCGUGGGGAGCAAACAGG